rnacentral:rRNA from 1 species
GACGAACGCUGGCGGCGUGCCUAACACAUGCAAGUCGAACGGGGUAAUUUCUUCGGAGAUUACUUAGUGGCGAACGGGUGAGUAACGCGUGAGAAACCUGCCUUUCAGUGGGGGACAACAGUUGGAAACGACUGCUAAUACCGCAUAAUGUCAUUUGGGGGCAUCCCUGAAUGACCAAAGAUUUAUUGCUGAAAGAUGGUCUCGCGUCUGAUUAGCUAGUUGGUGAGGUAACGGCUCACCAAGGCGACGAUUAGUAGCCGGUCUGAGAGGAUGAACGGCCACAUUGGGACUGAGAUACGGCCCAGACUCCUACGGGAGGCAGCAGUGGGGAAUAUUGGGCAAUGGGGGAAACCCUGACCCAGCAACGCCGCGUGAAGGAAGAAGGCCUUCGGGUUGUAAACUUCUUUUACCAGGGACGAACAAAUGACGGUACCUGGAGAAAAAGCAACGGCUAACUACGUGCCAGCCGCCGCCGUAAAAC